rnacentral:rRNA from 1 species
UACAACAAAGAGUCCCUCCCGACUGUUUACCAAAAACACAGCACUCUGCUAACUCGUAAGAGGAUGUAUAGGGUGUGACGCCUGCCCGGUGCUCGAAGGUUAAUUGAUGGGGUUAGCAUUAGCGAAGCUCUUGAUCGAAGCCCGAGUAAACGGCGGCCGUAACUAUAACGGUCCUAAGGUAGCGAAAUUCCUUGUCGGUUAAAUACCGACCUGCAUGAAUGGCGUAACGAGAUGGGAGCUGUCUCAAAGAGGGAUCCAGUGAAAUUGUAGUGGAGGUGAAAAUUCCUCCUACCCGCGGCAAGACGGUAAGACCCCGUGGACCUUUACUACAGCUUGACACUGCUAUUUGGAUAAGAAUGUGCAGGAUAGGUGGGAGGCUUUGAGUAUAUGACGCCAGUUGUAUAGGAGCCAUUGUUGAGAUACCACUCUUUCUUAUUUGGGUAGCUAACCAGCUUGAGUUAUCCUCAAGUGGGACAAUGUCUGGCGGGUAGUUUGACUGGGGCGGUCGCCUCCCAAAUAAUAACGGAGGCUUACAAAGGUUGGCUCAGAACGGUUGGAAAUCGUUCAUAGAGUAUAAAGGUAUAAGCCAGCUUAACUGCAAGACAUACAAGUCAAGCAGAGACGAAAGUCGGUCUUAGUGAUCCGGUGGUUCUGUGUGGAAGGGCCAUCGCUCAAAGGAUAAAAGGUACCCCGGGGAUAACAGGCUGAUCUCCCCCAAGAGCUCACAUCGACGGGGAGGUUUGGCACCUCGAUGUCGGCUCAUCGCAUCCUGGGGCUGGAGCAGGUCCCAAGGGUAUGGCUGUUCGCCAUUUAAAGCGGUACGCGAGCUGGGUUCAGAACGUCGUGAGACAGUUCGGUCCCUAUCUGCCGUGGGCGUAAGAAGAUUGAAGAGAUUUGACCCUAGUACGAGAGGACCGGGUUGAACAAACCACUGGUGUAGCUGUUGUUCUGCCAAGAGCAUCGCAGCGUAGCUAAGUUUGGAAAGGAUAAACGCUGAAAGCAUCUAAGCGUGAAGCCAACUCUAAGAUGAAUCUUCUCUAAGCUCUCUAGAAGACUACUAGUUUGAUAGGCUGGGUGUGUAAUGGAUGAAAGUCCUUUAGCUGACCAGUACUAAUAGAGCGUUUGGCUUAUCUUUAUAAAGCAU